rnacentral:rRNA from 1 species
AUGUGAUCGUCUCUCGCAUAUCAAUAAGCGGAGGAAAAGAAACUAACAAGGAUUCCCCUAGUAACGGCGAGUGAAGCGGGAAGAGCUCAAAUUUGAAAUCUUAAAGGGUUUCCCUUUACGAAUUGUAGUUUAAAGAAGUGUUUUCUGUUGAGGUUUUGGUAAAAGUUCUUUGGAAUAGGACAUCAUAGAGGGUGAGAAUCCCGUAUUUGACCUUUACUUUCAACUUUGUGAUACACUUUCAAAGAGUCGGAUUGUUUGGGAAUGCAGUCCAAAAUGGGUGGUAAAUUUCAUCUAAAGCUAAAUAUUGGCGAGAGACCGAUAGCGAACAAGUACCGUGAGGGAAAGAUGAAAAGAACUUUGAAAAGAGAGUUAAACAGUACGUGAAAUUGUCAAAAGGGAAGCGUUUGACACCAGUGUUGUUUUUCUGAAAAUCAAUUAAAGAACUGUUUAUGCUAAGUUGUUUAGACUUUAUCAGCUAUCUGCUUAGUUUUGAGCCUUUUCUUUAAUGCACUUUUCAGUUAACAAGUCAACAUCAAUUUCUUUUGCUGUAAAAAAGCUUGAGGAAGGUGGCUUGAGAUUCGUCUUAAGUGUUUAUAGCCUCUUGCCUAUGCAGUCGGAGAGAUUGAGGUCUGCAGCGUAGAUCCUUCGGGGCUAAAUGCAUUUGUGCUAAGUUAUAGCAUUUUAUAGACAACUUGUUGACUAUGAUUUGUCUUGUAGCUUACUCGCUUAUGUUAUUUUACCUACGCUUAGGAUGUUGAGUAGCGACAUACGCAC